UACGGCGGUCCAUAGCGGCAGGGAAACGCCCGGUCCCAUCCCGAACCCGGAAGCUAAGCCUGCCAGCGCCGAUGAUACUACCC
rnacentral:rRNA from 2 species